AGGCACGCUGGACGGAAGAAACUUCAGAAUGCGAGGCCAGUGCUGUUUUCGCUCAUAUUGUCUAUGCUCGAUGUGGUGAAAAAUUGUGAUGCCCAAAGAAAAGCGCGCCUCUACCAUUUUGGGUAAAUGAAGCAGUUUUCGGUCCAUUGCAAAACGCCUACGAGAAUGUUAACAGAGGAGGCAAUGGCGUAUAUGUACUCCUGUGGGCCACAUACAACGAUGACCCAGUUGCACUGGGCAAUCAGUUUAAGUGUGUCAUAACAUAUAACACGAAGCGGAAUGCUCUAGAUCACACUUUAAGAUCUCAUUUCAAAUUUAGGAACAGCCAAAGUGGAACUACAUAUAGGAAAACCAGAAUAUUGGUUAAGGCCGUUAAAUAUUUGGGUUAUCGCAAUAUCAGGAAUGCCUUACAGUUGGAGCAAGAUGGAAAGAAAUUUACAAAUGUCUUGAUUUUUUCAAACGGACGGAACUGCGACGUAUUUUUCGUACCCAAACACGGAAAUGGAUGCGAACUAUGGGUCCGAGAAGAUUGGGUGAAAAAGUUACCAUUGUGUUGUCUAUUUAUUUACAAAAUGUGUGCCCUAGGAAAACCGACAUAUACGAUUUAUACUGCAGAAGAAUGCGGCAAAAAGCAGGGUGCUGCUGCCGUUUCGCAGCGGGAGUAGUCUCGUGUAUAUAUAGUCACUGCAGUGAUAACACCAUUAUUAUUGUGGAAAAGAUCACUUCAUCUUUAUCGUGAACCUGGUACUCAUGAUUUGAAUAAUAAAAUUUUAUCAUCAUAAUACGCAACUAAGAAAAAU